AUUGAACGCUGGCGGCAUGCCUUACACAUGCAAGUCGAACGGUAACAGGUCUUCGGAUGCUGACGAGUGGCGAACGGGUGAGUAAUACAUCGGAACGUGCCCGAGAGUGGGGGAUAACGAGGCGAAAGCUUUGCUAAUACCGCAUACGAUCUCAGGAUGAAAGCAGGGGACCGCAAGGCCUUGCGCUCACGGAGCGGCCGAUGGCAGAUUAGGUAGUUGGUGGGAUAAAAGCUUACCAAGCCGACGAUCUGUAGCUGGUCUGAGAGGACGACCAGCCACACUGGGAGGGAGACACGCCCCGGACGCCUACGGGAGGCAGCAGGGGGGAUUUUUGGAAAAGGGGCGCAAGCCUGAUCCAGCCAUGCCGCGUGCGGGAUGAGGGCCUUCGGGUUGUAAACUGCUUUUGUACGGAACGAAACGGUCCUGGUUAAUACCUGGGGCUAAUGACGGUACCGUAAGAAUAAGCACCGGCUAACUACGUGCCAGCAGCCGCCGUAAUAC
rnacentral:rRNA from 1 species